AAGCAGCAGCUACAACACUUCACAAAGGACAGAGAUUUUCAGUUGGCUCUUGUAAGCCAAGGUGUGGAUCAGCUUAGACAUCCAUCAGCAAAUGAGUGGAUAAAGAAAAUAUGCUCCAGAAAUAUGGUGGACUUCUAUCUACUCAUGAAGAAAAAUGAAACCAGGAUAUUUGAUAGAAAAGAAAAUUAUUAAAAAUAAAUGAGGAAAACCAGGUUCAGAUGAACAAAUGAGGCCAAUCAGCUUCUCCCUGCAGGAAGCUCCUUCUUGAAGAAAGUCCCCACUGGGUUCAUUGAUAUAAACCACCUCAUGGAAUGCUUCAGACAAGGAGCAGUAACAGCUGCCGGACUUGAUUAUCCCAAGGAAAUUCUUCUGAGCUGGGACUUCAGUAAUGUGCCUGUGACUCCUUUCUGCUUUUCUGAGCUAACACAGAAAGUAAGCUUUCUCCGGAGUCAGCUCGGAGCCCAGAUCAAAUUACACACAUCUGAAUCCACGUUGCCUACAUGUUAGUCAAUCACAUAAUCGCUGGGGGAAAAAAAUCCUGUGCAUUUUGGAGCAUAUAUUAUGCUCCUUCAAUGUCCAUUCAAGUACAUUACCACAUUCAGAUCAUCCAUCAGUGCCCCCAGGGGCAGCAAGAGGCAAUUUUAUUCCCAGGUGCCAGAAGGAAAACAUGUUCAGAGUGAUUAAAUACAUUACCCAGGGUUAGAUAGUUACCAUUUUCUUGGCUGUGAUUUUUUUUUUUUUUGAAGCCUGGAAACUAAGUAGUCCAGACUUAAAAGAACAAAAAACAAUUAUUAGUAGUCACGAUGAAUAUGUACUGUGGGUCAAGAAGACUUGAUGCUUAAUACAGCACAUCAGCCAUGCAACAAACCUUCCAUAAUCAACUGACAAAGGAAGUUGUCUGCUUCGUUUAUUUGGUCAAUAAAUAAAACUCGCUUUUUUAUCACAUUAGUCUCCGGCAGGCUCCUAUGACAGGCAUGUUAUACUCUAGUCAGUUAGAACCCUGAAAAGGGGCAAGCCCAUUGUACUGAUGGUGCUUCUUAACCACUGAGCAAGAACUACUCACAUAUGCCACAAAGAAGUUCACUUUUCAAACACGGAGGAAGAUUCUGAUGUUCAUUGACACAGCAUUUCAUUUCCCUGGAUCUUGGUUUCAACAUCUAUUAAACAGGAUACAUGUUAUCAACUUCUCAGAGUGGCUAUGGCCGUUAAUCUUGUACAGUAGGUAAAUAAACACCUGAAAGGAGGGGAAAUUGAAUAUUGCUUUCAAAUACUGUUGUGCUGAAAUAAAAGAUGUUCCAUAUGCCCAAACCAUAGCAAUGAGGAUAAGUCGGGUACAAUACGAAACUCUUUGGAGUUUCUAUGUAACUAUGUAACUGAAAUAGGCCUGAACUCAAUGUAUAUCACAGGCUCUCCUCAAAUUUGUGACUCUCCUGCCUCAGUCUCCUAAGUGCUGGUGUUAUGGAUGUAUGCCAACAUUCACAGCUUGAUAAUUCUUAUUAACCUAGUAAUUCAAAUUCAACAAGCCUGGAAGUCAUAAGUACGCCAAAUAAGUACUGCUGCCUUUCCAAGACUCCUCCCUUGGGAGAUGCUGUAUUUAGAUUUGUGAUGCUUAAAAACAUCUCCAGAAAUAGAAUUUACUUUCAGAACCAAUUACAAAGUCCUCAAAAAAAAAAAAAAACAAAACAAUUUCGUAUCUUAAUGAUUGCACUUCAAUUUUAAUUCAAAAUGUAUGGACCAGCCCAACCACUCAUUCAUUUGACUAGGAUUUAAAUGUGGUCUGACUCUUCCCAAACACCUAGUCUAUUGUGAUGUAAAGCCAGUCCAAACGAAUGCAUCUGAGCCAGGCCAUCUGUCUCUUACUUCAGAGACGAUACACAUACAUGCCUGUGUUCUUGAAUAGCAAUUGUUAAGUCAAUAUGCUGUUUUCAAUGCUAUUUUUAUUAAUGCUUUAAGUUAGUAUAUGAGAUUAUAAUUUUCAAUGUGCCAUUUUCAUGCCUAUAUCAUUAUACUUUAUUCUAUUUUUAGGUAUUUUUUGCUUAUGUAUGUGUAUGGUGCACAACCUAUGUGUAUAUACGUGUAUGUGUGUGAAGGCCAGAGAUUGACAAUGGGUGUCGUCUUCAAUUAUACUUCACUUUAUUGGUUGAGACAGGGACUCUCCCUGAACCCAGAACUGUGUGGUCCCAGCUAUUAUAGCUAGCUAGUUUGUCGCAGGAAUUCCUUGUCUCUGCUUUUGUGCUGGUGGGGAUUAUAGGCAGCUGCUCAGACUCCUUAAUUUUUAAGUGGGUUCUGUGGAUCUAAACUGUGGCUUUCACACUUGUGUUGCUCACAUUUUAAUUUUUUAAUUUAUUUUUAUUUUUUCUUGUUUUCUUUUUUCUUUUUUUCAUUAUCUUUUUCUUAUUAGAUAUUUUUGUUAUUUACAUUUCAAAUGUUAGCCCCUUUUAUUGUUUCCCUUCCGAAAACCCCCUUCCCUUCCCCCUCCCCCUGCUCACCAACCUGCCCACUCCUGCUUCCCUGUCCUGGCAUACCCCUA